rnacentral:rRNA from 16 species
UUCCCUUCGAAGUUUCCCUCAGGAUAGCUGGAGUCCAUUACGAGUUCUAUCAGGUAAAGCCAAUGUUUAGAGGCAUUGGGGACGCAACGUCCUCGACCUAUUCUCGAACAUUAAAUAUGUAGGAUGGUUCGGCUGCUUCGGUGAGCCGUGCCACUGAAUCGGGUGCUCCAAGUGGGCCAUUUUUGGUAAGCAGAACUAGCGAUGCGGGAUCAACCGGAAGCCGGGUUACGGUGCCCAACUUCGCGCUAACCUAGAACCCACAAAGGGUGUUGGUCGAUUAAGACAACAGGACGGUGGUCAUGGAAGUCGAAAUCCGCUAAGGAGUGUGUAACAACUCACCUACCGAAUCAACUAGCCCCGAAAAUGGAUGGCGCUGAAGCGCGCGACCCACACCCGGCCAUCUGGGCGAGCGCCAUGCCCUGAUGAGUAGGAGGGCGCGGCGCCCGCUGUAAAACCCGGGGCGCGAGCCCGGGCGGAGCGGACGUCGGUG